GGGAGCCUACGGGAGGCAGCAGUGAGGAAUAUUGGUCAAUGGGCUUACGCCUGAACCAGCCACGUCGCGUGAGGGAAGACUGCCCUAUGGGUUGUAACCCUCUUUUGUCAGGGAGCAAUUGGCGCUACGUGUAGCGUUAUCGAGAGUACCUGAAGAAAAAGCAUCGGCUAACUCCGUGCCAGCAGCCGCGGUAAUACGGAGGAUGCGAGCGUUAUCCGGAUUUAUUGGGUUUAAAGGGUGCGUAGGCGGAAUAUCAAGUCAGCG
rnacentral:rRNA from 1 species